rnacentral:rRNA from 1 species
AGAAUCAACGCUGGCGGCGUGCCUAACACAUGCAAGUCGAACGCGAAAGCCCCGCAAGGGGUAAGUAGAGUGGCAAACGGGUGAGUAACACGUGGGUGAUCUGCCUCAGAGUGGGGGAUAACGACCCGAAAGGGUCGCUAAUACCGCAUAACAUCCUGCCUUUGGAUAGGUGGCGAUCAAAGUUGGGGAUCCGCAAGGACCUGACGCUUGGGAGAGGAGCCCGCGGCCGAUUAGCUAGUUGGUGAGGUAACGGCUCACCAAGGCAACGAUCGGUAUCCGGCCUGAGAGGGCGGACGGACACACUGGGACUGAGACACGGCCCAGACUCCUACGGGAGGCAGCAGUGGGGAAUUGUUCGCAAUGGGCGCAGCCUGACGACGCAACGCCGCGUGGAGGACGAAGAUUUCGGAUCGUAAACUCUUCGAUCGGAAGAACAGCUUUUGGUAAUAGCCUGAGAGUCUGACGGUACCGAGAGAAGAAGCCCGACUAACUCUGUCGCCAGC